GUAAGUGUUAGAAGUGUAAAUUGAAUAGGGAAAAUUGUUAGACCUAAAAAAGAAAUUUUUUUUAUGUAAAAAAUAUUUUUUUUUGUCAAAAACUACCUAGAAAAUUUAAAUUUAUUUUUUUUGUCAAAGAGUACCUACUAACGAUUAGUAUCCAAAAUUCCGUUAGUAAAUCAUGACUUGACAAUAAAAAAAGAAAAAAUCAGAAAAAUAAAAAAAUCAUUGCCACGAAAGGACUGCCUUAAUUUGUUGGUUCAAUGUUGUGUGAUGGGAGAUAUUAUCUAGCUUGCCGAACUUUAUGGUUUAUGCCGAAUUUGGUUGAUUUUUUUUUCUUUUUUUGGUCAUGAUUAAGCUUUAUUGACAGAAGUGGAGUUUUGCAAGUUUUUAGUUUGGAGGGGUAUUGUUUAUGGUCUCAGUUAACCGGAAUGAAUUCGAUUUUUUGGGUUUCAAUCGAACAAAUCAAGGUCAAAUGGAACAUGAAUCUAUGAACUUAAAGUCUAAUUUUUCUGAUUUUUUUUUUUUUUAAAUCUUGAUUUUCUAACAAAUUUUGGAUGGUAACCGUUAAUAGGUACUCCUUGACAACAAAAAUAAAUUUUCUAGGUAGUUUUUGACCAAGAAAAAUGUUCUAGGUAGUUUUUCACAAAAGUAACCUUUUUCUAGGUGGUUUCUGAUAAUUUUUCCCAUUGAAUAUUUACGGUUUGUAUCAAGGAUAAAAAUAAUGGUAGUAUGUACUACUUUUAUGUAUUUUGGUGUUAGGACAGCUUUAUAGAAGCUUUUGAUAAGUGUUAUUAUUGUUUAAUAAUGAUGGUGUUGAUGGUUAGAAAUAGUUUGGGUUGUAUGUCACUUUUAAUAGUUGUUAAAUGUUAAUUUUAUUAUGUGUAUGGUGAUGGAUAUGAUUAUUGUUAUUGUUUGGUGGUUAAUUGUCUUUGUUGAAGAAUUUGUUAAUUGUGGGUACAUUUUUUAUGUUUAAUUGCCAUCGUUAGUUUAUUCAAUUGUUGUUCCAAGUUGUGUAAUGUGGCCAAAUCAUAGAAAAUUAGUGCUAUGAGUUUCUAAGCUACUAAUUGCUUUGUUCUUAUUCUUUGUCGCUUCAAACCUUGAGGAAUGUUUCAAAUUUGAUUGAAAAUUAUCAUCAUAAUGAGUUAAGUCAUUAAAAACAAGUGUAACCAUUACGUUAUACGAAUUAAGUACACAUAGUCUUGUUUUAUUGCCAAAGUGAAUGAAUUGAAUCUUUCUCUCUUGAAUAUACCUUGUUUUAGAAUUGAAUGAAAACUAAUGUUAUGGUUAGAUUGAAUUAAUGGUAUAGUUCAUGAGUAAACAUGUUGUGUGUAUGGUUAGACUUUAGAGUGCGUUUUCAGAUGAGUUGUAACUUGUAAGGAUGGUAGUGUAGUGGGGUACUUCUUAGAGAAAGUAGCUUUUAAAUGAAGUCAAGUAGACUUACUAGUCUUACUUUAAACUUGUAUAGGUGUCUGGUUUAUAAAGGGGGCGUAAGAAUCUCUUUCGAAGUGAUUGAUGCUGUAAUACCCCAGAUUUAGCUUGAAAAAGGAUUGAUAGACUACUCAUAUCAACAAGGUGCAUCUUCUUUUCUAGGAGCCCAUUUGCUAAGAACUCCACAGUUAAGCGUGCUUGGUGGAGAGCAAUCUUAGGAUGGGUGACCUCCUGGGAAGUUUUCCCGGGUGCGCACGAGUGAGGCCAAAGUGCGCUGGAAAGACUUGUGUUGGUUUGUGGGGCUAGUCUACAGUCUCGAUGAGUAGUCACCAGCGGUCCGAGGGGCCGGGGUGUUACAGAUGCGAUUUGUUGUCUUGCAGUUGCGGCAUUUGUACUAUCGUAUUCAUGGAGAAUUCAAAUCGAUUGACAUGGCAAGGUUGCAGUGUGUUGCUUGAUAUUAACGAUGGCGAGCGUGUUGUUUUCGCUCGCCUUUCAGCUGCCGCGACUUUGAAGAUUGGCAAGCAAAAUUAUUCUCUGCGUCCAAUAAUAGGUUGUCCUUUUGGCUCGCUAUUUCGAGUUGAAAAUGGGAAAGAUGGACCUUAUCUUAUUCGCGUUGUACCAAACGAAGUAGGAUUGGGUAAUAAUAUUCAGGAUGGAGAAAAUGAGCAAGUUGAGGACGGUGAGGAAUUGAAGGACAAUAGAGCUUUAGUUGAUAACAACACUGCUCAAAGUCUCACCGGGGAUGACAUAGAUGAAAUGCGAAGACAGGGUGCAACAGGAGGCCAAAUCGUGGAAGCUUUGAUCGCCCAUAGCACGACUUUUGAGAAGAAGACUUCUUUUUCGCAGGAAAAGUAUCGGCUUCGUAAGCAAAAAAAAUAUGCUCCUACGGUAUUGGUUAGGCGUCCAUUUGCUCGUAGCAUAUGUGAUGCAUACUUCAGGAAGGUUCCUACCAAAAUAGGGUGCUUGCGAUCAGAUUCUUUGUCUCUUCUGCUUUCAUUGGCCAAUGUCACUGCACACUCCGAUGUUUUGGUGGUAGACAUGGUUAGUGGGAUUGUUACUGGGGCUGUAGCAGAACGUUUAGGAGGCUUUGGAUAUAUUUGUAACACACAUCUUGGUGUUGCACCUUAUCCUAUGGAUAUAGUGAGGAUCUUUAAUUUCAGUGAUGAUAUAUGCAAGAGGAUUGUUCGUUGUUGUCUCAAUGAUUUAUGCCCUGCUCAAAAUGGAAGCCAUGUAAAAGCUCAGAACGUGGUAACUGUUGUGGAAAAUCAGCCAGAUAUCAUUGAAGAAGACGCUUCCACGGAAGAAAACAAGGCAUUAGUUGAUACUUCAAGCAAAACAACCAAUAAAAAUUCCAUGAAUUCUAAAUCAAUUAAUGCAGGAGAAAUCGCUUCAGAAGAGCUUAUUACUUCAUGGAAAGAAAAGGGUUUCUCUAGCUUAAUUGUUGCUGCUCCAGAGCUGGAUGUCUGGAGCAUAUUGCAAAAGUUACUACCACAUCUAUCAUAUUCUGCCUCUUUUGCAAUCUAUCACCAAUAUCUCCAGCCUCUUGCAAUUUGCAUGCAUAAUUUACAAAAGGAAAAAUUGGCUCUUGGAUUGCAAAUAUCGGAGCCUUGGCUCCGAGAAUAUCAGGUGAAAACAUCAUCAAAAUAAUCACACUAUAUUUGGAUGAGGAGUAAUGGAAGGAAAGAAAGGAGAGGGAAAAGGAGGGAUUACAUAUCCUUUAUUUGUUUACCAGUAGGGGACCAGAGGGAAAUGGAGGGAAAGAAAUUAGGAGGAGAAACACCUUCACAUUGUGAAACAAAAUAAAUAAAUUCUUCCUACGUUAGAAAGAUUUAGAAAGGUAUUGCCAUCAAGAACACAUCCUCGUAUGCAGAUGAGUGCCUGUGGUGGAUAUAUUCUUAGUGGAAUAAAGACUUGUUCAAAUCAGCCUGAUAUCCAAUGAUACUCUCAUAAAGGGCGAUGUUUUGUGGAUGGCAGACGCCUCCAAUUAGGCAAUAUCCUGUUUGUUUUAGUCACUAUUAUAGAUAUGUAAUCAAAUACGCUCUUUAUCUCUUAUUUUGCGGGGCUUUUCGUUUUCCACACGUGUCAUUAUUCUUAAUAGAUAGGAACAAACAGUGGAGACUAAUAUCAUGAUUAUUAAAAUUAAUUCUCUUAAUUGUAAAUUAGUUUUAGACAAGGUUGAUUAAAGUAUAUUUUUAUUAGCAACCGAUUUUGAUUAUGUAUAGGUGGGGAUUAAAGCCUUGAUCUUGUUGUCAUUAACUCAUCAUCGUGUACUAUUGAAUGGUUAUAGUCUCUUGUGAAUAUGCUUUCACUUGCUUAUUUUUAGAGGUGUUCACCCGAGCAAUUGAUUUGAUUUUGAUUGGUUAAGUAUUGAUUCAUGUGAUAUUGGGUUGUUUGUAAUUGGGUGAUAAAAACAUAUUGCUCACAUGUUUCGGUUUUGGUAAAAAUGUGUGGUUGAUGAAACAUUUUGUUUCACAUGUUUCGUUUUUGGUGAAAAAUGUUUGGUAUGAAAUUGGGUAUGGAUUAAAAUUUGUUUAGUGCAUAUAUUUAUUUGAUACUUUGAAGAAGAAUUAGUUCAAAACAUGGGUAAUGUUAGGUUGGCUGAUAUUAAAUUGAGGGUUCGAUAAUGAAAAUAUAAGUGUAAUGUAAUUUAACUAAAAAAAUAACAUGAUAAAUUCAUGGUUUUAUUUGUUCUACUCUAAUUAAUUUUUUUAUUUUAUAAAUUCAUACCAUUUAUAGAUUUAAUCAUGUACUACCACUUUGUAAUGCAUUGUAUGAAGUCUCUGACGUGUAUUGGUUUAUGUUCUUUAACAGGUUGACUUGCAGGUGGGGCUAGUGUGAGGAAUCAAGCAGUAGAACCUGUAGACUUAUGUUAUUUUUGUCAAAUAAACUUUAUUGUUUUUUAAUUUUAUUUUGCAAGUACGCUUUUAUAUUGAACAUUAAUUAGUUUCGGAUGAGACUAGUAGGUUCUCGAGUUGUAAACCUUAAGACUUCUACUGGUUUAUUAUUUUCGUAAUUGUUAUUUAUUUCUUUAUCACUAGAACACCGGCGGUCCUAAAAGCGGUUUAACUUAAAUAUUCUAAGUGGGACCCAUAAUUCAUAUUUAAAUGUGAACAUACGGU